rnacentral:rRNA from 1 species
GACAGAGGCCUCGAGCGUUAGGCGGAAUCACUGGGCUUAAAGCGUGUGUAGGCGGGCCCGUAAGUGUCUUGUGAAAUCCCACGGCUCAACCGUGGAACUGCUGGGCAUACUGCGGGUCUUGGGCCAACUAGGGGCAGCCGGAACAAGCGGUGGAGCGGUGAAAUGCGUAGAUAUCGCUUGGAACGCCGAAGGUGAAAACAGGCUGCUGGGGUUGCGCCGACGCUGA